GAAAUGGACAAGGUAGAAGGGACU
rnacentral:piRNA from 1 species